CAAUAUACAGUCUGUCUGCUAUGAAUAACAUGGAAGAACACUAUGACCCUAGGCUAGCUUCAGAAUAGAGAACCUUAAUCACCAGAACCUUAAAAUUGAGACUCCACUGUGGUGCCACCCAGUACCUUAAUAUGUGACAAUUUCAAAUCCUAUGAUGAGGUUCCAAGGGGUUGUAAAAUGGAAGAAAACAAAGAACAAGCCAAGAAAAAAUUUAAACAACGCAGUCACUGUCAGGGAAAUAAAGCCAGAAUUAUGUAAACAAUUUGAAAAAAUAAACACAAGAUUAAUGCUUGA